rnacentral:rRNA from 1 species
AGUGAACGCUGGCGGUAGGCCUAAUACAUGCAAGUCGAACGGCAGCACAGUAAGAGCUUGCCCUUACGGGUGGCGAGUGGCGGGCGGGUGAGGAAUACAUCGGAAUCCUCUUUUUCGUGGGGGAUAACGUAGGGAAACUUAUGCUAAUACCGCAUACUAUCUACGGGUGAAAGCAAGGGAUCUUCGGACCUUUCGCGAUUGAAUGAGCCGGUGUCGGAUUAGCUAGUUGGCGGGGUAAGGGCCCACCAAGGCGACGAUCCGUAGCUGGUCUGAGAGGAUGAUCGGCCACACUGGAACUGAGACACGGUCCAGACUCCUACGGGAGGCAGCAGUAGGGAAUAUUGGACAAUGGGCGCAAGCCUGAUCCAGCCAUGCCGCGUGGGUGAAGAAGGCCUUCGGAUUGUAAAACCCUUUUGUUGGGGAAGAACAUCAGUAUGAUAAUCCCCCGCUGUUCUGACGGUACCCAAAGAGUAAGCACCGGCUAACUUCGUG